UCCUCCAAUUUUUCAAAAUGUAGAAUGUCCAUAUUUUCCCUCUUCUAUUGCAGAUGCAGGCUCAAGGGUCCUCCACCAUCAUACGAGUGUUCAUGGAUUUGAAGACUCUUUUUAGUGAAGAAGGCAAGGAUUAUUUUCCUUUGUGCUUACUGGUGGAAUAUAUCCAACCUUGAGUGAGAAAUAAAGUAUAUCUUCAUGUUCUGCAGAGAUUUUGGUCUCUUGAUUCAGGCAGUCUUGGCUGGUGAAACAGCUGUGAUCAGGGUCUGCAACAUUUGGGAGAAGCCUCAAUAAAGCAUAUGCUGGAUGCCUCGUGUCCUUAUCGAUGCGUGGGAGAACCCAUCCUCCCCUUCACGCACAUGGUCUGGCUGCGCAGGUUGGGCUGGCCACAUUGUGAAGUCUUCCAGGCAGCUGAGGAGCAAAGCGUUGGAGAUUGGAGACGACCUCCCGGUUUCCUGGAGCAGAGGACCAGAGGAGCUGCAAAAUGCUGGCACUGGCUACAAAAAUGCAGUUAUGUGCAGCACGUUCAGACACACAGAUGUACGACGGUGGAAGAGGUAUGAAGAUUGCUCCUGGCCUGUACCAGGAACAGUGUGA
rnacentral:lncRNA from 1 species